rnacentral:rRNA from 1 species
UACGUAGGUGGCAAGCGUUGUCCGGAUUUACUGGGCGUAAAGAGCGCGCAGGCGGUCGUUCAAGUCGCGUGUGAAAGCCCCCGGCUCAACUGGGGAGGGUCACGCGAUACUGAUCGACUCGAAGGCAGGAGAGGGUAGUGGAAUUCCCGGUGUAGUGGUGAAAUGCGUAGAUAUCGGGAGGAACACCAGUGGCGAAGGCAGCUCGCUGGGACGGUACUGACGCUGAGACGCGAAAGCGUGGGGAGCAAACAGG